rnacentral:misc_RNA from 1 species
GAUGAAGAACGUAGCGAAAUGCGAUACUUGGUGUGAAUUGCAGAAUCCCGUGAACCAUCGAGUCUUUGAACGCAAGUUGCGCCCGAAGCCAUUAGGCCGAGGGCACGCCUGCCUGGGCGUCACACGUCGUUGCCCCCCCAUCUACUCCUUCGGGAUUGCGGGGGGCGGAUGAUGGCCUCUCGUGCGCCUCGUCGCGCGGUUGGCCUAAAUGCCAAGUCCUCGGCGACGCACGCCACGACAAUCGGUGGUUGCCAAACCUCGGUUGCCUGUCGUGUGCGGUCGUCGCGCAUCGAGGGCUCGAAAAAAUUGCCGGGCUUCGGCUCGACUUUCAACGCGACCCCAGGUCAGGCGGGGUUACCCGCUGAAUUUAAGCAUAUCAAUAAGCGGAGGA